GACGAACGCUGGCGGCGUGCUUAACACAUGCAAGUCGAACGGUGAAGGGGUCUGCUUUUGUGGGCCCUGGAUGAGUGGCGAACGGGUGAGUAACACGUGAGUAACCUGCCCCCUUCUUCUGGAUAACCGCAUGAAAGUGUGGCUAAUACGGGAUAUUCUGGGUCUGUCGCAUGAUGGGUCUGGGAAAGAUUGCGCCUUUGGGUGUUUUUGGUGGGGGAUGGGCUCGCGGCCUAUCAGCUUGUUGGUGGGGUGAUGGCCUACCAAGGCGGUGACGGGUAGCCGGCCUGAGAGGGUGGACGGUCACACUGGGACUGAGACACGGCCCAGACUCCUACGGGAGGCAGCAGUGGGGAAUAUUGCACAAUGGGCGCAAGCCUGAUGCAGCGACGCCGCGUGAGGGAUGGAGGCCUUCGGGUUGUAAACCUCUUUCGCCAGUGAAGCAAGCCUGCUCCUUGUGGGUGGGUUGACGGUAGCUGGAUAAGAAGCGCCGGCUAACUACGUG
rnacentral:rRNA from 1 species